rnacentral:rRNA from 1 species
GUAGGGAAUAUUGCGCAAUGGACGAAAGUCUGACGCAGCGACGCCGCGUGAGUGAUGAAGGCCUUAGGGUCGUAAAGCUCUGUUGAAUGGGAAGAAAAAAAUGACGGUACCAUUCGAGGAAGGACCGGCUAACUUCGUGCCAGCAGCCGCGGUAAUACGAGGGGUCCUAGCGUUGUUCGGAAUCAUUGGGCGUAAAGGGUGUGUAGGUGGCCAUGUAAGUCAGGUGUGAAAGCCCCGGGCUCAACCCGGGAAGUGCACUUGAUACUGCGUGGCUUGAGUACCGAAGAGGGUAGUGGAAUUCCAGGUGUAGUGGUGAAAUAUGUAGAUAUCUGGAGGAACACCGGUGGCGAAGGCGGCUACCUGGUCGAGUACUGACACUGAGACACGAAAGCAUGGGGAUCAAACAGGAUUAGAAACCCCAGUAGUCC